ACUCUCUCCUUCCCUCAUUUCUCACCCAAACACACACCCUCUCUCUCUCUCUCUCUCUCUCUCUCUAAACUCGCUCUCCCUCUCUCUUGAAGUGAAGAAGGAGAAGAAGGAAAGGAAGGAGAAAAAGAAGGUGAAGAAGGUGAAGAAGGAGAAGCAAGCUAGAGAAGGCCUUGGUCUUCUUCUUCUUCCUCUCCUCACCAUUAGAGCAAGCUAAGAGGUAAGCUUCUAAGCCCUACAAUGGUAGAAACCUAGGGUUUGGAUUUCUUACUUUAGAAAUGGUUUGAUUAGAACUCUAGCAUGCUAAUAGAGGUUUAAAG
rnacentral:lncRNA from 1 species